GACGAACGCUGGCGGCGUGCCUAAUACAUGCAAGUCGAGCGAAUCAUGAGGUGCUUGCACCUCUUGGUUAGCGGCGGACGGGUGAGUAACACGUGGGCAACCUGCCUGUAAGACUGGGAUAACUUCGGGAAACCGGAGCUAAUACCGGAUAAUCCUUUUCCUCUCAUGAGGAAAAGUUGAAAGUCGGUUUACGCUGACACUUACAGAUGGGCCCGCGGCGCAUUAGCUAGUUGGUGAGGUAACGGCUCACCAAGGCGACGAUGCGUAGCCGACCUGAGAGGGUGAUCGGCCACACUGGGACUGAGACACGGCCCAGACUCCUACGGGAGGCAGCAGUAGGGAAUCUUCCGCAAUGGACGAAAGUCUGACGGAGCAACGCCGCGUGAGCGAUGAAGGCCUUCGGGUCGCAAAGCUCUGUUGUUAGGGAAGAACAAGUACCGGAGUAACUGCCGGUACCUUGACGGUACCUAACCAGAAAGCCACGGCUAACUACGUGCCAGCAGCCGCGGUAAAAC
rnacentral:rRNA from 1 species